AUGCGCGUCACUAAAACAACGUGUAAAACACGUGGCUUUAGCGACGCGCAUAACGUGUUGGUAAAAACCUUUGCUCACACGCAUGGAGCGUCACCUUAUAUCAUUUAAUUAAAAAAAAUAAUAAAUUAUCAGAUAUAUGCCCUACUUCAUCGUCCCCCUCUCCCACAUAGCGAACAUUAACCUAAAAACUCCAAGCGACCCCUGUCUUUUGCCUUCAUCGUCACCCCCCGUCCCUUAACCAGAUCAAAUAUCUAGCUUAUAAAAAACUCGAGACCUCAUCUGUCAUUUCCUCUCACUCAGUUCCAGCCCGCGGACGUCUCCGUCCUUGUUCCCACCCUCUCUCAAUUUCUCUCUUUAUGUCUCUGUCUCCAUGUCUCCCUUUCCUUCAGCAGCCCACUAAUGACUCCCACCCAAGACUUAUUCUCGUCAACGAUAGCUACAGGUGGCAAGCUUCAAGCUCCCACAGUUAAGUGAUGCAAAAUAUACAGAAGAAGAAAUUGAUAUUGAUGAAGUGAAAGAGCAUUGGGCAAGUGAGAUGUUAUCGGUUAUUCAAACUUGCCGACGUUAGUUGUUUUUUGUUUUAAUAGGGCAAGUGAAAUGUUAUCGGUUAUUCAAACUUACCGAUGUUAGUUGUUUUUUUGUUUUAAUAGACCAAUAGUUAUUAUAUAAUUUUAUAGUUAUAGAUUUAUUAGUAUAAUGAACUAAUAUGUAAUAUUUAUUAAUUUUGUUGAUGUGAAUUAUUAUAAUGGUCUAAUUUAUAAAUUUUAUAUUUAGUCAAUUAAAA